rnacentral:sRNA from 1 species
AUGUCUGCAGCGUGCUGCCCCGUCUCCAGUGCUUCCCUGAAACACCGUGGACUAUUUUCUCUCUGGAACCGGAAACCAGAGUAAACUGUUCUGUCCAUAUGUGCUUUUGGUCGUGGUGUUUUAUCACAGCAACAGAAAAAUGGCACCAGAGGCCCUGGCCUAACUUUCUGGCAGAUCAAACUCAUGUUUGGCUUGUGCCCGCCUUAUGACCACACUGUCUGGGCUUGACUGAGGAAGAUCUUGAGCUUCAGAAAGGCAACAGCUUUUGGAAUAGCUGCUGU